CAGCAGCCGCGGUAAUACGUAGGUGGCAAGCGUUGUCCGGAAUUAUUGGGCGUAAAGGGCUCGCAGGCGGUUUCUUAAGUCUGAUGUGAAAGCCCCCGGCUCAACCGGGGAGGGUCAUUGGAAACUGGGAAACUUGAGUGCAGAAGAGGAGAGUGGAAUUCCACGUAUAGCGGUGAAAUGCGUAGAGAUGUGGAGGAACACUAGUGGCGAAGGCGACUCUCUGGUCUGUAACUGACGCUGAGGAGCGAAAGCGUGGGGAGCGAACAGGAUUAGAUACCCCCGUAGUCCCUGUCUCUUAUAC
rnacentral:rRNA from 1 species